AUUGAACGCUGGCGGCAUGCUUUACACAUGCAAGUCGAACGGCAGCGCGGGCUUCGGCCUGGCGGCGAGUGGCGAACGGGUGAGUAAUGCAUCGGAACGUGCCCAGUAGUGGGGGAUAGCCCGGCGAAAGCCGGAUUAAUACCGCAUACUACCUGAGGGUGAAAGCGGGGGACCGAAAGGCCUCGCGCUAUUGGAGCGGCCGAUGUCGGAUUAGCUAGUUGGUGGGGUAAAGGCUUACCAAGGCGACGAUCCGUAGCUGGUCUGAGAGGACGACCAGCCACACUGGGACUGAGACACGGCCCAGACUCCUACGGGAGGCAGCAGUGGGGAAUUUUGGACAAUGGGGGCAACCCUGAUCCAGCCAUGCCGCGUGCGGGAAGAAGGCCUUCGGGUUGUAAACCGCUUUUGUUCGGGAAGAAAUCCUCUGGGCUAAUACCCCGGGGGGAUGACGGUACCGGAAGAAUAAGCACCGGCUAACUACGUG
rnacentral:rRNA from 1 species